rnacentral:rRNA from 1 species
UACGGAGGAUCCAAGCGUUAUCCGGAUUUAUUGGGUUUAAAGGGUGCGUAGGCGGCCUAUUAAGUCAGGGGUGAAAGACGGUAGCUUAACUAUCGCAGUGCCUUUGAUACUGAUGGGCUUGAAUGGACUAGAGGUAGGCGGAAUGUGACAAGUAGCGGUGAAAUGCAUAGAUAUGUCACAGAACACCAAUUGCGAAGGCAGCUUACUAGGGUUGAAUUGACGCUGAGGCACGAAAGCGUGGGGAUCAAACAGG